rnacentral:rRNA from 1 species
CGGGGUGAGUAAUGUAUGGGGAUCUGCCUGAUGGGGGGGGAUAACUACUGGAAACGGUAGCUAAUACCGCAUAGCGUCGCAAGACCAAAGAGGGGGACCUUCGGGCCUCUUGCCAUCGGAUGUGCCCAGAUGGGAUUAGCUAGUAGGUGGGGUAACGGCUCACCUAGGCGACGAUCCCUAGCUGGUCUGAGAGGAUGACCAGCCACACUGGAACUGAGACACGGUCCAG